rnacentral:tRNA from 1 species
GCCUGGCUGGCUCAGAAGUGUGUGACUCAUGAUCUCAGGAUUGUGGGUUCGAACCCCAUGUUGGGUG